UAAAACUCGUAACACGUAAUUUGUGGUUUUGUUUUGUUUUUUUUCUUUUUCUUCUAUUUUUUUAUUUUUUUAUUUUUAUUAUUCUCCUUACUCUCUCAUGCGUUCGCUCGAACGUGUUUGGAUUAAAAUGUUUUAUCGCGUGACAGUGACAAGAAGAUAAAAGAGUAAAUAGUUAUUUGCGUGUCGAUGCUCUUCACCAAGUUGGACAUUUUUUCUUUUUUUUUCUUGAACGUGAGUUUAAAACUCGAAACAACAUUUACAAUACAGGAGCGUAGUUGUAUGCAUGGCAGGCAAGGAUUUGAAUAAGGUACAGGAGGAGGUCUAACAGAGAAGAACCCAUCCACAGACUCGACAUACAUUCGUCACAAUUGACACGAUUGACCCGCAGUGGUUCUCAACUUGUCCAGUCCAACAUACAACCGGUUUGACCAGGUCUAACAAGUACAUUCCAAAGAUCAGUGCACACGCGUAUUACUCUUAGAAUAACGCUAUGAAAUUUAACGCGUGAUCAUAAUUUAUAAUAAAUAUAUAAUAACAGCUUGUAUCUAAUGGUAUCAACGUUUACUAAUAUUUAAACUCAAACAAAUCGUUCUCGAGAAAGUUUAAACGAGUCUCAACGUUUCUUACCAUAUUUGAAAUUGUCCUUGCUAAGAAGAAGAAAAAAAAAAAAGAGAAGAAAAAGAGGAAGACGGAUAUCAUCGUAACUGUCAAGAUAUUAUAGUAGACAGUCGAGGAAAAGCAUCAUGGACUGGCUAUGUAGUAUCGCGUUGCUCUGUCGAAGCAGAAGUUACAACUGUUGGUUGCAUCAUGUUGCACAUCUGGUCCGUGAACCGCUUCUGGUACGGUGAAGAGGACGCAGGAACAUUAACAUAUGCAGCGACGUAGGUAGCCAAGAACUCGCCUUGAGUUUUCAAAGAAACAU